rnacentral:rRNA from 1 species
AAGAAGCACCGGCUAACUACGUGCCAGCAGCCGCGGUAAUACGUAGGGGGCGAGCGUUAAUCGGAAUUACUGGGCGUAAAGCGUGCGCAGGCGGCUUUUUAAGCCAGAUGUGAAAUCCCCGGGCUUAACCUGGGAACUGCAUUUGGAACUGGAAGGCUAGAGUGUAGCAGAGGGGGGUAGAAUUCCACGUGUAGCAGUGAAAUGCGUAGAGAUGUGGAGGAAUACCGAUGGCGAAGGCAGCCCCCUGGGCUAACACUGACGCUCAUGCACGAAAGCGUGGGGAGCAA